UCCGAGUUGACCCCGGCAGUCUCCUACGAGUCCCCGCCAUUACGCGCUGGCAACAUAGGACAAGGGUUGCGCUCGUUGCGGGACUUAACCCAACAUCUCACGACACGAGCUGACGACAACCAUGCACCACCUGUGCAGGGCCCCGAAGGACACCGUAUCUCUACGGCUUUUCCCUGCAUGUCAAGCCCAGGUAAGGUUCUUCGCGUUGCCUCGAAUUAAGCCACAUGCUCCGCCGCUUGUGCGGGCCCCCGUCAAUUCCUUUGAGUUUUAGCCUUGCGGCCGUACUCCCCAGGCGGGGUACUUAAUGCGUUAGCUGCGGCACGGAGUCCGUUGAAAGACCCCACACCUAGUACCCAACGUUUACGGCGUGGACUAC
rnacentral:misc_RNA from 1 species